rnacentral:sRNA from 1 species
CUCGAUGUCUCAACAGUACCAUCACCAAUCCUUGUUUGGGUCAAUACGACAACUGUGGGCAAAAAAAAACGCUUGUUUGGGUUCCAGAAGGUGCAAGCUCUUCGGCACCUGCUCCUGCGCAGUGCACCAAUGCCUCGGCCCUUGUUCAUGCUAGUACGCACUUCGACUCGAGCAUCAUCACACCGCGAUAUUGACCGCUUUGUACUGUACUAUACAGUCGGUGUCCGGAAAAGAGCCUUGAAAUUUGUAUUGUUUUGUUCUUCGUUUUGGGGCGAUUCUUCCGCGGGAUAACAAUAUUCCGGUAGCUUACUAAGAGCAAGUGCUGGAAAAUAAUGCG